rnacentral:rRNA from 1 species
UACGGAGGGUGCAAGCGUUAUCCGGAUUCACUGGGUUUAAAGGGUGCGUAGGUGGGCGUUUAAGUCUAUGGUGAAAUCUUUCAGCUUAACUGAGAUACUGCCGUAGAUACUAUUCGUCUUGAAUUUUGUAGAGGUGAACGGAAUAUGUCAAGUAGCGGUAAAAUGCAUAGAUAUGACAUGGAACACCAAUUGCGAAGGCAGUUUGCUAUACAAUAAUUGACACUGAGGCACGAAAGCGUCGGGAGCAAACAGG